AUGAGAAAAAACAUUAAUUAAUCAACUUAUCUUCUUUUGUUUUCAAAUUUAAUCAUGAAUAUUGUUUAUAAUUUCUGAAGCACAUUUCAAAUUUUAAGGCUAAUGAAUGGGCCAUCUAAGCUUUGUACAGGUUGUUGUGUUCUAACUUCUAAUCAAGUUAACAGCUUGUUAAACAGAAUAAAUGGGUGAUUACAAGAGAGUAUAUGGAGUAAAUGCCUCCUGGCUUCAGAAAUUUUAAAGCAUCCUACACUGGCAGGGAGCUGUUAAAAUAAUGGUCAUCUACAGGAAUUUUUUAACAUUAAGCAGUGUUUGAUUGGUUUUUUAAAGCAAACUAAAUGUUGUCCAUUCAGAAGUCAGUCUGCACUGGGUCCUGAUGCUUCAUGUGUUUCAAGAAGAAUUCCAACUUUCACCAAAAGAUGAAGAACCUGACAAAGGAAGAGUUUGUGCAUAUAUUUUGUCGCCAAAUCAAUGGAUUUGCUUGUGGGAGCUCCAGGUAUAGAGGGGUGACACUUCACAAAUGUGGCCGGUGGGAAGCUCGCAUGGGACAAUUCCUUAGAUAUCUGUCCUAAGACGUAUAUAUAUCUUGGGUUAUUUGAUAGCGAAAUUAAAGCUGCAAGGGCUUAUGACAGGGCAACAAUAAAAAAUAACGGAAGUGAAGCUGUUACCAAUUUGGACACAACUACUUAUGAUGGUGAAAUACUUCCUCAAACCAAUAAUAGUGGUAUUACCGGUUCAUAUAUCUUACUCCUAUCAUAAAUAGGAAUAUUACUCCUAUCAUCGUUAUUUUGAGCAGAAAUAUAUAUUGGCUAUAUUGUGACUGCUCAUGCUUUAGGUGGCUAAGUUUUAGCCUUAUAAAUUAUCCAGGCACAAAUAGCACUGAAUAAUGUGGAUGUUGCGGUAGAAAAUUUCAAAAAAGCACUAGAAUUGGAGCCAAAUGAUGGAAAAAUAAAGGAGGAACUUGCUGCUGCGAACAAGAAGGAGCGGUUGAAGAAGCUAAAAUCAGAACAUAGAAAAGUUCAACUUGGCAACAUCACUGUGGAUAUGGGGCUCAUCUCAACAAAUUACAGAUAUGUCAAUUUUAUGUUUCUCAUGUGGUUAUGUGGGCAACACACCUAUUACUGGCACAUAGCCGAUAGUGUGUGGAUAACGUUAAUUGAUCUCAAGUCGUUGAAUUUUGAUAGGUUAUAGGUGGAAUGAGAGGAAUGACUGGAUUAUUGUGAGAAACAUCACUACUUGAUCCUGAUGACGGGGCUUUCUAUCCCAGAAUGCCAGAAAGUAUUACCUGCUGCAAGCGGUGGGAAGGAACCAUUGCCCGAGUGUCUUGUGUGACUUCUUUUGACCGGAAAGGUGAUUAUUGACUUGCUUCUAUUGUAAUCACGAUGAAAUUUUUCAUGUAUUUUCCCUAAUUAUUGCCAGUGUUUGUUUGCCAUUUUUGGUGAUGUUUUACAUGAUAUCAUAUUGUGUUCGGAGAAAGAUACAAUAGUAGAAUGCACCUUAAGCAAUGUAAUUUCUCGAAUAAC